GAAACUCCAAGGCUUCACUGCAGCAGCUUGUGCAGAUGCAGCAUCACUCCAACUGGGUCCGUAUCCAAAGCUAGCAGAGGAGUCCCCAGAAGGAGGAUACCCGUGUAACUCUCUGCCACUGUCCCCUUGCCUUGUAGCUCCAGCUCUCUGAGGAAACCAGCAUGACUCCAUGGUGACUCUGCUGAAAGCAAUAAACGCCGACAAAAUGCGAACAGGAUUUGGCCUUAUCAUCAGAGAAUGAGAAGGUUUGGCAGAGGGCCUGGAGGGGUGCUGGGAGCUAGUCUCUGGUUCCAUAAAUGCGUAUGUUUCUAAAAAAGUCAGUGCUGGAUAUGUGUCUGAAGCGUUCGGAGCGUGAAUCAGCUUUCAUGUGGAACAAAGAAACUGUUGCACUUCAGACAGCCACCCUGCUGAAUUAUUUAAGGCAACUAAAUACCUGCGGAGCUCUGCCGCGUUACAUAAACCUGCAAAACUGGCUCAAUUCCUUGCCUCGAAUCAAUGUUAUGCUCUCUUUCUGUAAGCUACUUCAUGGCAUCAAAUGAGUGACUUGGAGCAAUUCUGGAGACGUUUGGAGAAAGAACAGAAAACACAACACGCAAGCGUGGAGGGGAAUGGGCACGUUCCUGUCAGGACAGCCCCGGCUGCUGCAGAGGCUGCUGCUGCUCAUGGGGAAGUGAGAGCAUCUGAAAUUUAGCUUUGUAGCCUGCAGGGUCGGUUUCCAGGGCUAGUUCCUGUCCGAGAAUGCUAAUCUGGAGAAAGUGCCUCCUACAGAAAGGCAGAAAGGCACAAAGGCUGAGCGUUGUCACAGGGGCUGCUUCACGAGCCGUGUUUGUUCCAGGACAGACAAAGCAGCCCCUGUGUGCUGUUCGCGCUGGCUCUGGUGCACCCCGUUGCUUUCCCUGCAUCAUCAUUCUUCCUGCCAAAUUCAUCUCCUCUACCAGAGCUGAAGGCAGUGUUAAGUACCAACACGGAACUGUGUGUGUAAACAUUGAGCAUCUACCUUUGCUGAUUUUCCUCAGAUUUCACCUCAGCUUGGCUGGCUCAGCUCAGGAGCUCAUCCUUUGCCUGUUUAUUUACUGUAGAAUGGGGACUGGGCUGUAGACGUUGUUACCGACACAUGACAAAGUGUACAUGUAUGAGAUCUGGAGUGGUUCAUACAUUUGGGAGCCAUGAGAAGAUGCAAAUUAAAGCUCAAAGUGCUGUAUAUA